UGCUACUACUGGUAGUUGUUACUGUGA
rnacentral:piRNA from 1 species